rnacentral:rRNA from 1 species
UACGUAGGGUGCGAGCGUUGUCCGGAAUUAUUGGGCGUAAAGGGCUCGUAGGCGGUUUGUCGCGUCGGGAGUGAAAACCCAGGGCUUAACCCUGGGCUGGCUUUCGAUACGGGCAGACUAGAGGUAUGCAGGGGAGAACGGAAUUCCUGGUGUAGCGGUGAAAUGCGCAGAUAUCAGGAGGAACACCGGUGGCGAAGGCGACUCACUGGACAUGUAUUGACGCUGAGGUGCGAAAGCGUGGGGAGCAAACAGG